AUAUAAAUAUAAUAUUUUAUCAUAUAAAUCUUAUAAUAUAAUAAUAUCUAUAAUUGUCUAUUGUGUGCACUUAGAAAUAAAAUGGAAACCUUAGCAGUUUCGUCAAUUUUACCUGGAUGUAUCAAACACAUCAGCAGCUGUCUCCACCUCAUUAACACCACAGAGGGUUAGAUGCUACACGGACAACACUACAGACCAAGCCACGCCCCCUGCUGUGAUUGACAUUCCUUGUACACGACAGCACGAUACGUCAUCAUAGAAACCACAUAUAAUGCUCCCGAAAAUGGUGUAUAGACUGGACAUAUGCUAGAAAUCUGUGAAAUAGAUAUUAAUGGAUGUCAUACAGAAUGUUUCGGGAAUACGUGCUACUCAAAUGGUGUAUGUGACACAUGUGGAGGACACUUGGGAAAUACCUGUCAAAAUAAUUGCUCCUCCACAUGUUAUAACGGGGCUUGUGAAAAAUACAGCGGAUUCUGUAAUCGUGGGUGUGAGUCUGGAUUCUGAGGAGUUAAUUGUACUGAGAGAUGUAGCGUUCAUUGUUUGAAUGAGAUUUGUGAUCAUGGCAAUGGAACCUGUAUCAGAGGAUGCAACGUUAAUUUUGCGGGAGCUAUGUGCCAGAUCAAGCAGUCCUCAGAGAGAAGUACAAACAAACCUAACGUUUAUUCAGCUCUGUACGGUGUUAUCACAGUUCUUGCAAAAGUGCUUUUUUCAACAUAGU